ACAAAUGAAUUUAAUGAUACAUGUCAAAGCAGACAAAUGCCAUUGUGUGGGAGGAGAGUAGGAUGAGGGGAUGGAACAGGAAUGGGACUUGACUUAGUAAAAAGCUGUUAUCCUUAAAGAUAAAACUGUCAGUUAUUUUUUCGGCAAAAAAUGGGUUAUUGGGGAAUAGCAAAGAAUAACAAUUUAGGACAAGCAAGCUAUGGCAAAACCAUAGGCAAGUCUGGAGAACAAAGGAGAGAGCUGCUCUUUUACAGAGAAAAAGGGGAAGGUGGGAGGAGCUGUUAUAAAAGCAAAGUCCAUCGGAGCAAACUAGGAGUUCAAAGUACAGUGGCUUUUCAUUCCAGGAUGAGUGGUAACUUUAUAAUUAGCCUGUAGGGUGCAGAAAUCUCAUACCCCAAAUAGGUAAAUCCACAGAUAGAAUUCAUAUUGGUGGUAGAAUGGGUUGAAUAGUGUUCUCAUAUAGAUAUGCUGAAGCCCUAAGCCCCAGUGCCUGUGAAUUUAACUUUAUUUGGAGAUUGGGUCUUUGCUGAUGUACUGAACUAGAGUGGGCCCUAAUUCAGUAAUGGGUAUCUUUAUAAAAAGAGAAGAGACACAGAGGGAAGGUAGCCACAUGAAGACAGAGGUAAAGCAAAGAUUGGAAUGAGCCUGCCAUAAACCAAGGAAGCUGGAAGAGGCAAGGAAAGAUUCUCCCCUAGAGCCUUUGGAAGGAUCAUGGCUCUGCCAACACUUUGAUUUCAGACUUCUGGCCUUCAGGACUGUGAGAGGAUAAAUUCCUCAUGUUUUAAGACACCCAAAUUGUGGUCCUCUGUUUAAAGCAGUCACAGGAAAAAAAUACAAGUGGUCACCACUGUCAAGGGGAGGCAGAAAGUAGGAGCAACUGUUUAACAGUUGCAACUGGGUACAGGGUUUCCUUUUCAGGUGAUGGAAAUGUUUUGGAACAUUUCCGGUGAAAUUGUUUAGAACUAAAUAGAGGUUGAAUAACAUUGUGAAUGGAUUAAAUGCCCCUAAAGGAGUGAUAGGUAUUAAGGAGGAUGCUUGUGAUGAGCAAUGGGUGUUGUAUGUAAGUGAUAAAUCACUGAAUUCUAUGUCUGAAUCUAAUACUACAUUAUAUGUUAACUAACUGGAAUUUAAAUUAAAACUUGAAAUAAAAAAUAAAUAAAAUAAAAAUAAUGCAUGCAUACAUACAUCCUGCUGUGGUUUUGAUUGAUAUUGAAUUGAAUCCAUAAAGUAAAAGAGGAGAAUUAACUAUUUGAGACAACAUGGAUAGACCUAAAGGGUGUUACGCUAAGUGAAAUAAGUUAGACUGAGAAACACAUACCAUAGGAUUUCACUCAUAAGUGGAAUCUGAAAAAAAUGAAUAGGGGGCAGCUGAAUGGCUCAGUUGGUUGAGCAUCUGACUCUUGAUUUUGUCUCAGGUCAUGAUCCCAGGGUUGUGGGAUCAAGCCUGGCAUUGGGCUCUGGGCUGAGCUUAAGAUUCUCUCUCUCUCUCUCCCUCUGCCCUUCUUCCUAACUUGUGCACUCGUUCUCUCUUUCCAAAAAAAAAAAAAAAAAGAAUUAAAAAAUAAAGAUGAAUAAACAGAUAAAAAGUAGAAUCAAACCUAUAAAUACAUAAACAAACUGAUGGUUGCCAGAGGGACAGGGGGUAGGAGGUUGAACAAAAUGGGUGAAGGGGAGAGGGAGAUACAGACUUCUAGUUAUAAAAUGAAUGAGUUGCAGGAAUAAAAGGCACAGCAUAAGGAAUAAAUUCAGUGAUAUUGUAAUAGCAAUGUGUGGGGACUUGUGGGGAAUAUAGCAUAAUAUAUAAACUUGUCGAAUCACUAUGUUGUACCUCUGAAACUAAAAAGCAUUGUCUGAUUAUACUCAAAUUUAAAAGAGUAAAAAAAUAAAAUUAGAGGACAUAUUUUUAAAGGAAUACUUGAGGAGAACUGACAGCUAGUGAAGCUUCUGAUCUGUGAAUAUGGUAUAAGUCUUCUUUGUAUGUUGGCUUUAAUUUCUUGUCCAAAUAUUUUAUAUAAUUCCCUUAUGCAUAUAUAAGAAAAUAAAUAGGAAUUCUUAUUUUUGCCCAGAAGAAGUAACAUAACAGACACUCAUUCUCACAAUUGAUGGAGAUCUUUCCAUGUCCAUACACAGAGCAUUCUCAUUGUUUCAUGACAAAUAAUACUGUACCUACAUCCAUAAUGUGUCAUUACAUAUGCAGCCAGCCUCCACAGAUGUACUUUGGGUUUGUUUCCAACUAUACUGAAGCUGUAAUGAAUGAUGUUGGUUAUUUGAGCAGCCAGCUCUAACUCCUCACUCCUCCUUUAACCUGGCAUGUGGGCCACAGCCUUAAUAGGGGUCAGGAACUCAGAAAAUAGUCUGGCUCUGUAAGUGGUUUCUCCUAAUCCAGCCCCCCAUUUUCCAGUUUAUGGGAGUGGGGAGUAAAGCUCCAGGGUAGCCCCUCCAGUCUCUGCCUCACCUUAACUUCAUUUCUUCUGCUCCACUCCAGUUCUCCAUCAGCAUAGGUGACCAUGCAUAUAUGCACACACUCACCAAGAUGUAGAAGAAACCAUUUUAAAGCCUGAGCUCUUGGCUCCUUCCCUCAAGAUAUCAUGCUUGGAUGACUACUAGACAGGAAAGAGCUGACCCAAGAUACAGAGUACAUGGAGACAUGACCUGGUAGGAGUCUCCAGACACCAGACUCAGCUACUAGAAGUGAGUGACAGUGGAGACUGUACCCAAGGAGGAGCUGAGAUAUACCUGCCUAGUGACACACGCAGGCCUGUAGGAACCUCUCUAUAGAGCCCAGGGUGGAAAGUGGAGGAAGAGAAAGAGAAGAAAGAAGAGGGAGGGAUGUGGGAUUGCAGAACAGGGCAGGCAAGAACCUGAGGAGGCCAGGCUCCCUGCCCCUCCCCUCUCCAGAACUUCCAGCCAGAGUACCCUCAUGUCCAGGCUGUUGCUGAUGCUGUACUGCUGUCCUCCAGUUGGAAGUGAUCAGAGCCAUGCUUCUCUGCACGUCUGGACACAUCCUCCUGAUGCUGCAGGUGCUGCACCCCCAGUUCCACUUUCAGGUUACUAUGGGCACACGGUGUAGCAGGAGUGGCAGGAGUCCUCUGACCUUUAAACACCCUUGAAACCAGGUGAUCCUCACUGGCCAAUUACCAACACGAUUGGUUUUCCUAUGUAUAUAUAAAAGGGACCGUCGAGGAGCUGUGGGGGACAACGCGGAGGAGUGGGGGAAGCUGUGACAAUGGCCGUGGGAGCCGCAGCCCGAGGCUGAAGGGGCCGGGCUGGAACUCCAGCUGAGCGAGGCGGGCUGAGGUCGCUGGUGCGCUGCCUUCCCAAAGCUGAGCUCUCUCGCUCUCCCCGGUUGGCGCCAGACCACCGACCCCACAGCUGAAGACCGACUCCGGGGAAAUCGACGCCCUAGGGACGCGCGCAAGGCUGGCGGACACCUGCUGGCGGGUCUUCGGGAGCGCGCACGUCUGGACGCCGCCGUGGACAAUGCUCCUGCUGCAACUGCUGUCGCUACUGCGGGAGCUCACGGCAGAGAGUCCCUGGGGGCUGCCUGUGGUAGCUGAUGGCCCAGCUUCCUUAGCAAAGGUGGUGAUGGCAGAACUGGCUGACCUGAAGUUAGAAAACAAGCCAUGGCCUGGAGGGACACACUCUCUCCACUACCACUACCUGGCCCUAUCAGAGCCAGGCCCAGGCCUUCCUCAGUUUCUGGCUGUAGGCUACGUGGACGACCAGCCUUUCAUCCAUUAUGACAGUCGUGUGGACAGAGCCAAGCCCCAGGCCCCAUGGAUGGCAGCCGUGGACACCCAGUACUGGGAAACAGAGACCCAGAAGCAGAGAGCCUGGGCAAAGGUGCAGCAGGUGGAGACAUGGACCGUGAUGGGCUACCACAACCAGAGCAGUGGCACACACAGCACUCAGCGAACGUUCGGCUGUGAGAUCCGGGAAGACGGCCGUACCAGCAGCUUCUGGCAGUUUGGCUUUGAUGGCCAGGACCACCUGUCACUGGACCUGGAGACUCUGAGCUGGGUGUCAGCCAAGCCUGUGGCUGUGCAGACCAAGCGUUGGUGGGAAACAGAGCGCUGCUAUGCCGAAUACGACAAGGCCUACCUGGAGGGCCUCUGCCUCACUUCCCUGCACAGGUACCUGGAGCUGGGCAGCCAGAGCCUCACCCGGAAAGAGCCGCCCAAAGUGCAGGUGACAAGACACACAGCUGAGGAUGGGAGCAUCACACUGAGAUGCUGGGCCCGGGGCUUCUACCCACGGGACAUCUCAUUGAGCUGGUGGCUGGGGGAGGAGGAGCUGGUUCAAGAGACCGAGUAUGUGGAGACACGCCCCAGUGGAGAUGGUACCUACCAGACAUGGGCGGCCGUGCGGGUGCCAGCCAGGAUGGAGAAUGGGUGCAUUUGCCAUGUGCAGCACUCCAGCUUGAACCAUACACUCACUGUGGCCUGGGAAGCACCCUCUCAUCAGUCGAUAACCAGUGACAAGGUUAUCUUCAUCAUCUUCACCAUCUUCACCAUCACUGUCUUGCUGGUGGUUGGAGUUUGGAUUUUCAUCAAGCAGUACUCUCAAGCCAGGAAUAAGGAAUCUUGCAAACAAGCCCCAGGUGGAGAGGAGCCUCAUAAUUCCCAAAACCCAAUGAGCGUGGAGGCUGCUCAGCUGCUCUGCUGACACAAGUUCACUGUCACAGAUCAAGGAGGUGUUUUAUAGAGGGUUUGGGGGCAUCCAGUGUGCUAGCUGGCUGGCAGUGGUGAUCCAACUGUGAAGGGCCCACCCCACCUCAAAACUGAGCCCUCCUCAGCUCCAUCAGCCUCAUCACAAGCAGUCUGGGCCACUAAGAUAGAUUUGCCAUCUUCCUGAAGUCCUUUUAAAAGUCUAAUUGUCUCCAGUUUGGGGGCGUGGGAAGGAGGGCAGUAAUAAUUCCUCAGAUCGGUUCACACUUGACAAUUUGCACGAUAAUUUCAUGUAAAGUGUAAAUCCCACCUGAGCCUCUCAGGUACUCUGUGAGUUCGGUGAUGGUAUUCUCACCUCCACUUCCCCAACAUGGAAACCACAGCUAUGGGAAGUUAAGGAAGAACCAGAAGAACAGUCAAGGAGUUAUGGGGGCAGCAUGGCCAAAUGCCUACCUCCUUUUAUAAAUGUGUUCUUGUGUGUAUGUAUAUUUUCUUUUGUAAAGAUUGGAGUGUUGGGGGGUGUGAGGAUAUGUGGUUCCUGCAGGGUGAGGGUGGGUGUGUGAGGACAAGGGGGUCCAUGAUGUGUGUGAGGGUGUGUAGGGAGUGACGGUGUAUGGGGCGGGGGGUGUGUGUGGCAGGGGGUGACUUUGUGUGUAUGAGAAGUUCAAGGGACAGGUGCCCAGGGACCUGUUAGCCCAGGGCAGCUGAAGGAUGGAAAACAAUAGUCAGUAUUUUCCAUCCUGUCCUCUUGAAUGGUUUGAAUUUUUACAAUAAGUACAUGUUACUUUUACAAUAAGGGGAAGAGAAGUUUCACUAUGUCCUGUGGAAAUGCUUGUUAAGAAUUCUUGUUAAGGAUGUGUCUGGGAAGGUCCAGCCUCUCCUUCUCUGAAUUUCAGUAUAGCAGAAACCCUACGUCUCCUUUGUAAAUAAGAAUCUCCUGGGGAGCACACAUUUUUGUUUAUUCAGAGAGCAGUUCAAGUCUCACGGCCAGCCAGCAGAUGUGCAAAGGGAGAGGACUCCAGAGCCACAGCAGAGGGACCACUCCACUGGCAUAAAGGACACAAGCUUGGGCCCUUCACAGGGCACCCUCUGCCUCUCUGUAGAGCCCCAAGGCAUGACUAAGCCUCUUGUGGGGAUUUCUGAAACCUUCAUGUCUGCAGCCCUGGGAGGCCCCAAGCUGAAGGAUGUGAAAGAUUUGUGAUACUAGACAGAUUCAGCCUGCCCUGGUGGCCUGAAGAACCUCAGCAGUGAGUUUGCAAUUAUGUGAUUGCACUGAAAAUGUGUCUCUAAUGUCUGUCUGCCUGUCUUAGUGCUGCCAUCAGGAUCCAUGCUGUGCUGGUUCUGAGCACUUUUACAUGUACUAAACUGUGUGAUCCUCAUAACACGCCUGUGUGGGAGAAUUAAUAAUCCUGUGCUACAGGUGAAGACAUUGAAGCCCAAGGUCCUAUGGCUGGUUUGUGCCAGAGCCAGGACAUGAAACCAGGAAGUCUGUGGCUACAGUCUGGGCACUUCACUACUGCACCAAAAACCUCAAUGACAUCUGUGCCAUUCUGUAAAUGGUGAAAAUGUUGAGGCACAAGGUGGGUCUGGCCCACACCAAUGGAAGGCACAAGUGCCUGUGCUGACCUUUGAAGAUGUGCUUAGGAUCUCCAGAGCAAAGGUCAAAACUCCAUCCCUGAGGAGGAUGAGGGCCCAGUGUAUUUGUGGAGAAGCAGAUGGGAGGAGGCUCUGAGUCCUUCCUGUCCAGGAUGUCAGCUCUCUCCAGUGCACAUCUCUCUUUCUCUUCCACCCACACCCCAAGCAUAUAUUGGUUUAAGUCCAGUGCACCUGCAAAACCUGAGACAAAGGAACAUGCACCAGCACAUCAUGGCCAGCAAUGGCUGGUCAGUGAUCUCAACCAAAAGACAGGGGCUCUGGACCCAGAAGGACCAGCCUAGAUGCCCUGCCUGCCUACCUCCCUGGUUCUUUCCUCAGCCACUCCUGCCUGGAGAGAAGCUCAUGAGAGGACAGAAGGCAAACACAGAGGGAGUUCAUCUGAGCCCCAAGUGUUCCCCUGGGUGCCCCCUGAUUACUACCACAGUCUUAGGAGUAGACAGAGGCAGGAGGGCAAGUGAGGAGGGUUCUAAGCACACUUGGAAGCAGUAAAGGGGCCUACAAAUCUGGCAAGGACAGGAAGACAGCUUUGCAAAAAAUCACAGACCCACAGGAAAAGCAACCUUCUCACCCAGCAAGGCAAUACUUCCACUAGCUGCUCCUGAGAACUGCUUCUCUCUCUCAGCCCAGACUGGCCUGGCCUUGGGUCAGAACCAUGGGAUCUCCAUCCACAGGCCAUUCCCUCACUCACAGAGGCCAAGACAUCUUCCCCACGGGAGGAAUGCUACAUCAGACUUCUCUAGUCUUCAGGCUGCACUGAGAUACCCCUCCACUGACACAGAUCUUACCUGCUAGCCCUCUGGACUCUAGUCCCAAACCACGACUUUUUCCAGACCACCAUAUUUAGAGCAGAAUUCAGUGUGGCCUGGAAUUGUGCUUUGUGAUGAUGUGUCGAAUGAAUGAAUGCAUUGAUUAAUAAAUAAUAAAUUAUGAGUAUUCAAUGAA